ensembl:lncRNA
CAAGCAUACUUCUCUGCUGAUAACUCUGUCUGCUGCUUGUGAAUCCUCAUAGGAAGAAUGCCGGACUGACCUUCAGGUUUCCUCAAAAUACUGGGGUGAUGGUGGAGGCCGAAGCAGGUGGCAGUGUGUCUUGAGGACAGCCACAGAUUGGCUUGCAGGAGAGCUGUGGUUGAGUUUUUAAAACAGGAACUCCUGUAAACUGACUGGAAUGAAACUCACUGUGGAGCUGAAGGUAACCUUGAACUCCUGACCUUCCUGCCUUUACCUCCCAAGUACUAGGAUUAUAAACAUAUACUCGGUCUUACCUACCUUGGUCUAUAUAACAACUUCCAGGCCAGCCAAGUCUACGUAGUGAGAUUCUCUUCUCAAAAUAAUAACAAAUAAAUAAGUAAAUAAAAUCUUUCAAAAUGUUCAAAGAGCACCAAACUGUAAAAUGUGGGAAAUGACGUCAGAACCUAGAGGAAUGACACGGCCCAUGGUUCCAGUAUGUGAGAAGCCAAGGCAGGAGGAUGAGUUCAGUGUUGUCCUUUGCCACAAGGCUAGCCAGGGCUACAAGAGAUCCUGUCUCAACAUGGCAGAGAAAAGCUGGGGAUCUGGCUCAGAGAGCAACUCGUGAGUGGAAGGACCCGACUUUAAACCACACCCAUGUAAAAGGGAGUACGAUGGCACCGGCCUUAGAAACCCAACUCUAGGGCAUGGGCAGCCAAGUUGGACCCUGGGAGCUUUCAAGCCAGUCAGUCCAGCUCGGACAGUGAAAGGACUUAAAUGUUCAGUGAAAGACUCAGUCUUGGGCUGGAGAGAUGGCUCAGCGGUUAAGAGCACCGACUGCUCUUCUAGAGGUCCUGAGUUCAAUUCCCAGCAACCACAUGGUGGCUCACAACCAUCUGUAAUGAGGUCUGAUGCCCUCUUCUGGUGUGUCUGAAGACAGCGACAGUGUGCUCAUAUAAAUAUAAUAAAUAUUUUUUAAAAAAGAAAGUCUCAAAAAAAGGUGGGAUACAGUUGAGGAAGACAUAGUGCUAACAUAUGCAUAGGCCCUGCUCCCCGAACGGUGGACUGGACAGAGGCCGAGUUGGUGAUGUGGCUUUCCUCAGGCCGCUUAAGCACACUGCACUCCUGUUUGCUUUCUACCAAGCUCUUCCAGGGAUUGAUGUUAUCCUCAGUGCCAACCCCCUGUUGUCAUAGACCAUGUUUGAUUGUUAAUUCAGGAUCCAAAUCAAUAAAAUGUGUAGCGAGGCCACUUCAUUGCUGCACCGUUGCUCACAAGCCCCAUAAUAUGCUGAAAACAUUGUUACCGAAGACAAACCAGAAGAUUCCCCAGUGGUUCAUAUGAAAAGGUACAGGAGGACCAGCGGGAUGGCUCAUCAUGUGAGGACGCUUGUCACCAGGCCUAUGACCUUUCUUAAUCCCCAGAAUCCACAUUGUAGAGUGGAGAACUCUCCAGCAAGUUGUUCUCCGAGCUCAUGGUGUGCCAAGCCAUGCACUUAUACACGAUAAAUAAGUGUAGAAUGUAUUAUCUAAAGGGUUGGUGAGGGGCCGGGGCUAUAGCUGAGAAGACAGAGUGCUUGCCUAGUGUGCUUGAAGCCCCGGGAUCUGAUUCCCAGCCCCUAAGACCAGCUGCGAUGGCACUACUGCAGCAGCAGCCCUCAGGGGGGAAGGUAUGAUUUUAAUUUCUUUUAAAACCUACUUUUAGUGAUGUUUCUCAAACGCUUUAACCCCUCCGUUUUAGCCCACCACUCACCAAAAGUAGUAGAAAAAAAAAAGAUAUUGGGGGAAGUAGACCUGUUUGGAAAUGGUUUUUUUUUUUAAUUUUUUUUUAUUUAUUUAUU